GACGAACGCUGGCGGCGUGCUUAACACAUGCAAGUCGAACGGAAAGGCCCUGCUUUUGUGGGGUGCUCGAGUGGCGAACGGGUGAGUAACACGUGAGUAACCUGCCCUUGACUUUGGGAUAACUUCAGGAAACUGGGGCUAAUACCGGAUAGGAGCUCCUGCUGCAUGGGGGGGGUUGGAAAGUUUCGGCGGUUGGGGAUGGACUCGCGGCUUAUCAGCUUGUUGGUGGGGUAGUGGCUUACCAAGGCUUUGACGGGUAGCCGGCCUGAGAGGGUGACCGGCCACAUGGGGACUGAGAUACGGACCAGACGCCUACGUGAGGCAGCAGUGGGGAAUAUUGCACAAUGGGCGGAAGCCUGAGGCAGCAACGCCGCGUGCGGGAUGACGGCCUUCGGGUUGUAAACCGCUUUCGCAUGUGACGAAGCGUGAGUGACGGUAAUGGGUAAAGAAGCACCGGCUAACUACGUG
rnacentral:rRNA from 1 species